rnacentral:rRNA from 1 species
UACGUAGGGUCCGAGCGUUGUCCGGAGUUACUGGGCGUAAAGGGCUCGUAGGCGGCCAACUAAGUCAGACGUGAAAUCCCUCGGCUUAACCGGGGAACUGCGUCUGAUACUGGAUGGCUUGAGUUUGGGAGAGGGAUGCGGAAUUCCAGGUGUAGCGGUGAAAUGCGUAGAUAUCUGGAGGAACACCGGUGGCGAAGGCGGCAUCCUGGACCAACACUGACGCUGAGUGAGCGAAAGCCAGGGGAGCAAACGGG